rnacentral:rRNA from 1 species
GACGAACGCUGGCGGUAUGCUUAACACAUGCAAGUCGGACGAGAAGUCUUUUAUUGAACCUUCGGGGGAUAUAAGAGACAGACAGUGGCGAACGGGUGAGUAACGCGUGGGCAACCUACCUAUCGGAGCGGGAUAGCCUCGAGAAAUCGGGAGUAAAACCGCAUAACACGGAUAUAUCGCAUGAUGAAUCCGUCAAAACUCCGGUGCCGAUAGAUGGGCCCGCGUCUGAUUAGCUAGUUGGUAAGGUAAGGGCUUACCAAGGCAACGAUCAGUAGCCGGUCUGAGAGGGCGAACGGCCACACUGGAACUGAGACACGGUCCAGACUCCUACGGGAGGCAGCAGUGGGGAAUAUUGCGCAAUGGGGGCAACCCUGACGCAGCAAUACCGCGUGAGUGAAGAAGGUUUUCGGAUCGUAAAGCUCUGUUAUUGGGGAAGAAGCAGUGACGGUACCCAAUGAGGAAGUCCCGGCUAACUACGUGCCAGCAGCCGCGGUAAUACGUAGGGGACGAGCGUUGUCCGGAAUCACUGGGCGUAAAGGGCGCGUAGGCGGUUUUAUAAGUCAGAUGUGAAAGGUACCGGCUCAACCGGUGACGUGCAUUUGAAACUGUAAGACUUGAGUACUGAAGAGGCAAGCGGAAUUCCUAGUGUAGCGGUGAAAUGCGUAGAUAUUAGGAAGAACACCGGUGGCGAAGGCGGCUUGCUGGGCAGAUACUGACGCUGAGGUGCGAAAGCGUGGGGAGCGAACAGG